rnacentral:tRNA from 1 species
GCCUCUGUAGUAUAACGGCUAUUAUACUUGAUUUGUAAUCUAGAGAUUCGGGUUCGAUUCCUGAUAGAGGCUCAA